rnacentral:rRNA from 1 species
UACGUAGGGGGCAAGCGUUGUCCGGAUUUAUUGGGCGUAAAGAGCGUGUAGGCGGCCAGAUAGGUCAGCUGUGAAAACUCGAGGCUCAACCUCGAGACGUCGGUUGAAACCAUCUGGCUAGAGUCCGGAAGAGGAGAGUGGAAUUCCUGGUGUAGCGGUGGAAUGCGCAGAUAUCAGGAGGAACACCGAUGGCGAAGGCAGAUCUCUGGGCCGUAACUGACGCUGAGGAGCGAAAGCGUGGGGAGCGAACAGG